rnacentral:lncRNA from 1 species
GACCCCUCACCCUGUUUCCUAUCACGGUAUUAAAGCUAAAUAAAUAAUUAAAUGGUACUUUGUGACUUUAUAGAUGUAUAAUUGAUUAAGGUUGUCAAUGGAGCCCGAGUUUGAUACAGUGUUAGUCUAUUAUUGUUUAAUCUAAUUUUUAGUAUUAAAUGCAGCAUGAUGUUUGAUGUAAUUAUGUUAUGGUCUCGUAUGCAUGAAUUAUGAUUUCUUUUAUUAUGGUCUGUAUUAUGGUGAACCCGUUACUGUGUUGUCUUGUUUGGUGUCAAUUACUGGUAUACAUGUUGUGUAUGAUUGGAUGAUUGAGAUCAAGGAAAAAGGCGAAAAGGUUAUGUGAAUUGAUGAGUGGAUAAUGUGGACAGCCUGACUAGAU